AUUGCAUUAAUUAGGCUGGUGACUGGUCACAGGCUUACACAAUAAAAUAAACAGUCAAUGCUGUCAGCGUCAUGAAAACAACUUCAUUUCCUUAGAGCCGUUUAGACCAUUGUUUAAGGUGAAUGUCAUUUCCAUUAGGUUAAAAAGGAACUGGAUGACUGCAGGACCUUCAUAGUGAAGGAUUUGGCUGCAGCACAGACAUUACCUGAGAAGCUUCAAAUCAUGCCCUUUAACGAUGAGAAACUACCCACAAUGCUCGCCGUGGCUGGAGAAUGGAGGCCGUCUUUGUCCAGGGCUGUGGCAGUCUUCUGUACUUCCUCUGCAGCCGCACUCGAAGCCAUUAUUGUACUU